CUCCCUCCCUCCGCCCCUUUGAGGCUCCCUGUGGGGCGAGGCCGCUCAACCGGCUCCCCUCGCCUAGCUGCAGCAAGUCGAGACGGGAGGGGCCUGGGUGCGGGCCGCCGGGCGGAGCCCCUAACUCUAGCAAAGUGCAGCUCCUGACCACGCCCCCGCAAAUUCUGUUAAGUACUUUCACCCCCUGACCUUUGAGGAUGGAGAAUUCUGGAACUUGAGGAAAUCGUUUUACGUUCCCAGCUACGAAGGAAAAAGAUGGUUACCCACCACCGCGGCAACACCUCUAAGUCUUAUUUCCCCACUUCCUGUCUUCAGAUUCUGAAUUUUCUCCCUUUGUUUCUCUGUUCCUUCCGUAGGUUUGAGUCAACACCUGUCAGUCAUCUUCGUAAUACCGGCUUGGAUACCUAAAGCUGCGGGGAAAAAGUAUCAGGAGAACUUUCAGGGGAACCUCGGAACAAGAAUCAGCCCCAGCAAAGUAGACACUCCACCCAGGCAAGUGACGGCACUGAUCUUCCUUACACCGGGUCCAACCCACUCCCUACCGGGCCUUUAGCUCCACACCCUUUCCAGUAACAAUGGCAGCUUAAUCAGAGAACUAAGGUUUCAUAGAGCACCAAGCUUCAUUGUUUUCUUCAAGCUAGAUUUUGGGUAUAGAGAAGAGAAAGCAAAAGAUAGUGAUUAAAUUAUGAGUAUCUAGAGUUUCUAUUUAAAUCAGCUAAGAUUUAAGUAUUUGUUCAUCCACCAUUUUAGCAUUUUGGUGAUUAAAAAAAUUGGUAAUAUAAAAAUUCUUAGAUGCUAUGCACUCCUUCACAUUUGUCAACAUUUAUAAUGUCUGUCCUCCCUUUCAGUAGCAUAUCAUGUCAGAUUUGCACCAAAUAAAGGCUUAAGGAAUAUUUUCGUUGUUCUACCU
rnacentral:lncRNA from 1 species